GAUGAACGCUAGCUAUAGGCUUAACACAUGCAAGUCGAGGGACCGGCGCACGGGUGAGUAACGCGUAUCCAACCUACCCAUAACUAAGGGAUAACCCAGCGAAAGUUGGACUAAUACCUUAUGGUUAUGGAUGGGGAUGCGUCUGAUUAGCUUGUUGGCGGGGUAACGGCCCACCAAGGCAACGAUCAGUAGGGGUGCUGAGAGGAAGGCCCCCCAGAUUGGAAAUGAGACACGGUCCAAACACGUACGGGAGGCGGCAGUGAGGAAUAGUAGUCAAUGGAGGCAAGUCUGAACCAGCCAAGUAGCGUGAAGGAUGCUGGCCUAUGGAAUGUAAACUGCUUUGAUAUGAGGAUAGGUACCAUAUGAAUAAGGACCGGCUAAUUCCGUGCCAGCAGCCGCGGUAAUAC
rnacentral:rRNA from 1 species